ACUGGUUUUGUAGCCUGGUUUAGUAAGAUAUUCUUGCUUUAUCAUUCUCUGUUUGGUUACAGAUUUGUGACUAUAGGUUUAUGAUGCUACUCCAAUUUGAGCCUAAUCUCAUUGUGCAGUGGCAAUUAUUGUUUACCCAACUGAUAAGAAAGAAAAAAGGCAUUGUUUUUUUCCCUCUUUCUGUAUCUUAGCAAUGUCAGUAAUAUAUCUUUAUUAGCAUUAGAAAAAGGUCCCAGGGUAAAGAUGAAUGUGUUGUGUUCCAGGUGAGACUCCUACAUACUCUGUGCUACUUUCCAUGGGCAUUCCUCAGCUGUCUGCUUUUACCAUCUUUGUGUUUUUUGGCUGUGGUGAUGCAGUAAAAGUGAUUGUGCCAGCUUCAUUCCAGAUGCUCAGAGCUAGUCCUUGAAGCUUUGUUCAGAGUUGCAGAAACCUGUCCUGUCCCACUAUCCAAAGACCAUAGCCAAAGCAAACACCCCCAAGUCAAAGGGGUCUCUUUAAUGACCUGGUGUGAAGGCUCCAUAUUCUACCUGGAAUUGGGAUGACAGAUCAGUGAAGUUCUGCAACAGCCUUUUGAAGGGAAAAGGGCCAAGGCUAUGGAGAUGCUGAGGAAGGAUGGAUGGAGGGAUGAUACAUUAUCAUUUUCAUUUUGGGUUGAUGGCCUGACUGCCUCAGUUGUUGAUUCCAGGGCGCUCUGGAACCUUUAAUGCUGAGAACGAAAUGUGAGCAGUCAAGGUGUGCAUGGUCGAUACAAUAACAACUGUCUCUCCUGCAAAUGAUACCAAGCUUACUUUCCUCUGUCCUGCUCUGUGCCAGACUGAAUGCUCUCUGCUACUAUUGUAGAUGUUUGGAUGCUGUACAGUCCAUAUCCCAAAACAGUGAAUGUCCUUUGCUGGAGGAUACAGAGGUGCCUCUCUUAGCCCUUCCAAAGAAGAGCUACUUAUCUUCCACAGCCAAAGACUGUGUGUUUCUAACAUAGUAGCCUCUGAUUUCAGUCCCCUCAGUGACUUUUUAGCAUCUGGACCGACUCUCCAGCUCCUCCUCCUUCCCAGCCUUUCCUACGCUCUUUUGGGAUGAAGAAGGCAUAGGGCACUUCCAAGCAGCCUAAAGUACAAAGCUAGAAGAUGCCCAAAUACGUCCAUUGGUAAAUCCUGCACAGUGCAGCUUGAUAAUUCUAAUAUAGGGAAAACAAGCAACAGCUUUUCUUCUCUAGGCUGCCAAAGGGACGCUAUUCCUUGUCACACAAGUACCAUCACACCUAGCACUGGUGCAGAUACCUCUCUGCUAGCAUGCUCUGUUGUAGACAUUUCUGAGUAGCAAACUCCUGACUGAAAGGUGUCCUGUGUGGUGCCCAGAGCUGGAUUGUACCACCAGUGCUUGUGGAGCUUGGGGUCUGUAGCUGGCACAUGGGAAUUAGUUAUUUCAGAAAUUUUGUUUAUGAAAUUGAAUGGAGAAGGUACAGCUGCAAAGACUGGUCUGUAUGAACUUAUACCUUGGUGUAUCUUGUGUCUAUAAUUCCUUCACCUGUUUUCACUCUGCUAAUCCUGACCCUAGUCUUGCAUUUCAUAUAAAUGGUCCCUACUUAAAACUUGCCACAUGCAGUCCUGGGCUUAUUGCUCCUCCUUAACUGAAUCAAAUGGCAGAGACUUUGGCAAUGUAUUGGCAAUCUCUUUUCCUUGUGUUGCAUCAGUCUCUUGAGUUUAACCACAAUGACCUGAAAACAUUUGGGUUUUAAGUGUUUUUUUAUUAUUUUAAUUUUGUUUUGUUUAAAUGAAGCUGAACAGUUCCCACUGUAUUCAGAGCUGUGAUGCCCAGUUCCAGUAACAAGUAGUAGAUGGAUUUGUCCCAUUUUGUUUCUUGGUGAUGUUCAGAAAUAUAAUUUGUGUCAUCUUAAGUCCUGUGUCAGUUGUUUUCUUUCUCCCUCCCAUUUUUUUCCUGCCUUUGUAUUAAGCUGGAACAAUUCAGGACUUGUUCCUCCUCAAAGAGGUGAGUAGCUUCAAAGAGGCUUGGUUUGUCCAGGCACCAUUAAGACUGGGAAUUCUUACAAGCACAUGGGGUGGAGAGGGUGAUGCUAGUCCUUCCCUAAACAAAUACAACAGCAGAAUAAACUAGCAGCUGUCCCUGUUCUAGUCUGUUGUGAGGACUUAACACCAAACAAAUGCAAUGUAUGGAAGGAUGUGAGACCUUUGCUUUUUAAUAGCUAUUAACCUCAAAGUGCUGGGAUCUUCAUUCUGUAAGGCAAAUUUGUUGGUGGGAGUAUGACACUGCAUGGACAUCCUACCCCAUCUGGCCAAACAUCUCCCAGCUCCCUUUGACCUGUUGGCAUGCCUGGGUGAGCUCUUAGUUUCCAGGCUGGCUUUGAAGUCUGGUCUUUAUGAGACGUUUUCUUCACCUAUUAAAAGGUGAAGAAAAUGCCCUUUUCUGCCCCUCAACCAGAGUGAUGGUGGGACCCGUGAGGGACAGGAUUAGAAGGAUUCACAGUUCAUAGCUGGAUAUUUUGGGUCCACUCCCUUGGGUGCCACAUUCUACACAGGUUCAGUGCAGCUGCACAUGGGACAUGGUGUGUAAAUAGUCAAGCGCUGGCCGAAGGUUGGAAUGUGAUCAGAUGCAAAUCGGUGCCAAUUAGUGCUUUGAUGAAUAGAUUGCCAGAGUCCUCCACUUUAGCAUGCGGGCGUGCAGGCCUCGGAGCCAGCCUGAGGUGCUGGCCAGACUGUGCUUUCAUGCCUUCUUUGUUCCAGGUGACUCAGAGGGUUUGGUAUCUUUUAGCCGCUCACCUCUGUGGCACUGGGAUGGACCUGAAUCCACUCUCAUGGGUAAAAGGCAGGGUGUGCCCCUGAAACUGCAGUAGCUGACUCGGGCUCUGCCUUAGCUUCACAAUAAUAGUUCCUGCGAGGCUGAGCCAGACUAGCUCUGCUGGUCUGGGAGCUUGCAGGGCAGGAGCAAACCCUGAGCCAUGGAGGUUCUGUGCAUGCCUUCUGUUUGCCCACCCUUGUGCAGUUUCAUUCCCAUCACCCAGAAAUAUGAAGAAAAUGGGAGGAGGCAACUGAGGGAGAGCAGUGUGCAUAAGUCACUGUCAGCUCCCUGUGCUCAGCUGCAAAAUUCAUUCCUAGUGAUGUUCUCUUGCUCCAAACAAGAAGCACUUGGGUACACUGGCCAUGUGCAGGCUGUUGCCACAUGAGUGCUGGCAGUGUGUUUGGAGCAGGCUCAGGGGCCCUUGGGCCUGACCUUGAGAGCCCUCAUCACACUGCAGGGAGAGCUGGCUUUGCUCUGGGAGCACAGCUGGAGAAGGAAGCCUCUGGAGAUGGAGGAAGCACAUGCUGCACUAGGUGACCCUCCCAGGGGGCUGAGAUCCACUGAGCGCAGGUCAUUGCCUCCAUCUCAGCUGCUUUGCAUUUGCAAAUGGCAGGAGAAAGAAGAGCUCUAGCAGGAGUGCAAGGUAUUACAAUUAAAUUGCGCACAUUCACGUUGUUUGGUCAGCCCAACACAGUUCAAGGUGUGAAGUGAAUGUGAUGGGACCGCAGCUGCUGCUGCACCAAUAAGAGGAGCAGUGCAAGCCUCCUGUCCCGUGCCCUAAAAGGGACAUGUUCCCAUUAAGGGCACAGUAUGACUGCCGCAAUAUUUGCUGUUAUGGCAGAAGUCCAGUGUGUUUGGAAACCCCUGUGCUGCAGACUGUAAUUUCUCCAAUUCAGAGACCUGUGAGAGCCUCCUGGAGUGACUUCCCUGCUCUAAGGCCCAGGAUUGUCACUGUACAUCUCUAUUAGAGGCUUCCAGGAGAGACCUGACUAUUGAUUUUGCAGAAUGUGCCGUAUUUGCUGCGAAGGUGAUGCAUGCCUAACCACAGGAGCAAUCCAGCCACGUGGAGGCACUCAUAAAAUCUGUGAGUACCUUAUCUCAGUACAAAACAUCCUGAAUGUGUGAUGAACACCUUCACAUGCUAGGCUUCUGGUCCCUCUAAGGAAAUCUGAGGAAAAUUCAUACUAAGGACAUCUGUGCUGGGAGCAGGCAGGGUUUUUUUAGUGGCUGGGCCAUGGCUUUGCCCUUGCUGAUCACAUAAAGGAUCACGUUAGCUGCAGAUGCAUUCAUUUCUUUCUUUCAGCUUUCCCCAUUACCAGAGGUUGGCUUUGCUCCUCUGUGACACACACUGAGGUGGUGACAAAGGUGACCAAGUUAUUCCUCGAGUUGUCUUGUGAAGAAUCAUGCUCAUCUGCCUCCCAAGCCCUCUUUCCCAUGGGCAGGCAUGUCAGGGAAGGUUGUACAUCCUUCCCCACAGAGGCAGUGAUGUACUACAUCAGGAGGACAGGUAUUUUACUUUGCUUUUCCCUUUCCUAUCUAUCUGGCAGCUCCCAGCAUUGCUCCGUGUGUCUCAGGCCUUCUGCUGUGUUUGUGAAGUGUUGUUGCUCUUUCCCACACAAUACAGACGUUUUUGCAGGAGCAUAAAUUACUUCCAUCCAGUAACUCUUUUAUGAAACACUUUUCCUCUGCACAGUGAAGAAAAAUGUGGCUGAAGCUGGUAAUUAAAUGUUUACUGUUAAGUACUUUAUAUAUUAUAAAGUAUAUGUUAAGUACUUUAUAUAUUAUGUACUAUAGAUCAUUCCGUCCAUUAAACAAACCAUUUAACUCCC